rnacentral:rRNA from 1 species
CACGUACUGUGCGAACGUUAUUCGGAAUCACUGGGCUUAAAGGGUGCGUAGGCGGCCAUUCAAGUCAGGUGUGAAAUGCCUGAGCUCAACUGAGGCAUUGCGCUUGAAACUGAACUGCUUGAGUAUCCCAGGGGUGUGCGGAACUGCCAGUGGAGCGGUGAAAUGUGUUGAUAUUGGCAGGAACACCGGAGGCGAAAGCGGCACACUGGGGGAUAACUGACGCUGAGGCACGAAAGCCAGGGGAGCGAACGGG